rnacentral:rRNA from 1 species
GCUUAUCACCAUUCCUCAGGAUUGAAUAUACCCGAUCUCGUCUGAUCUCGGAAGUCAAGCAAUCUCGGGCUUGGUUAGUACUUGGAUGGGUGACCGCUUGGGAAUACCAAGUGUGAUAAGCA